GCGGCCUAUCAGCUUGUUGGUGAGGUAAUGGCUCGCCAAGGCGACGACGGGUAGCCGGCCUGAGAGGGUGACCGGCCACACUGGGACUGAGACACGGCCCAGACUCCUACGGGAGGCAGCAGUGGGGAAUAUUGCACAAUGGGCGAAAGCCUGAUGCAGCGACGCCGCGUGAGGGAUGACGGCCUUCGGGUUGUAAACCUCUUUCGCCAGGGACGAAGCGCAAGUGACGGUACCUGGAUAAGAAGCACCGGCUAACUACGUGCCAGCAGCCGCGGUAAUACGUAGGGUGCGAGCGUUGUCCGGAUUUAUUGGGCGUAAUGAGCUCGUAGGCGGUUUGUCGCGUCGGCCGUGAAAUCUCCACGCUUAACGUGGAGCGUGCGGUCGAUACGGGCAGACUUGAGUUCGGUAGGGGAGACUGGAAUUCCUGGUGUAGCGGUGAAAUGCGCAGAUAUCAGGAGGAACACCGGUGGCGAAGGCGGGUCUCUGGGCCGAUACUGACGCUGAGGAGCGAAAGCGUGGGGAGCGAACAGGAUUAGAUACCCUGGUAGUCCACGCUGUAAACGUUGGGCGCUAGGUGCGGGCGACAUCCACGUUGUCCGUGCCGUAGCUAACGCAUUAAGCGCCCCGCCUGGGGAGUACGG
rnacentral:rRNA from 1 species